GGGGUGCAGCAGGCGCGAAAACUUCACAAUGUGCGAAAGCGCGAUGAGGGAAUCCCAAGUGCUUGCUCGUAAGAGUAAGCUGUUUUUAUGUUUAAAACGCAUAGAGAGUAAGAGCUGGGUAAGACGGGUGCCAGCCGCCGCGGUAAUACCUGCAGCUCGAGUGGUGGCCGCUAUUAUUGGGCCUAAAACGUCCGUAGCCGGUUUAUUAAAUGCCUGGGUAAAUCGUGUAGCUUAACUAUACGAAUUCCGGGUAGACUGUUGAACUUGAGACCGGGAGAAGCUAGAGGUACUCCUGGGGUAGAGGUGAAAUUCUGUAAUCCUAGGGGGACCACCAGUGGCGAAGGCGUCUAGCUAGAACGGGUUUGACGGUGAGGGACGAAGCCCUGGGGCGCAAACCGGAUUAGAUACCCGGGUAGUCCAGGGUGUAAACGCUGCUUGCUUGAUGUUAGUUGGGCUCCGAGCCCAAUUAGUGUCGGAGAGAAGUUGUUAAGCGAGCUGCCUGGGAGUACGUCGCAAGAC
rnacentral:rRNA from 1 species